UACGGGGGGAGCAAGCGUUGUUCGGAAUCACUGGGCGUAAAGGGCGUCUAGGCGGUUUGGUAAGUGGGAUGUGAAAUCCCCGGGCUCACCCCGGGACCUGCAUCCCAAACUGCUGAGCUUGAGUACAGGAGAGGGUGGGGGAAUUCCAGGUGUAGCGGUGAAAUGCGUAGAUAUCUGGAGGAACACCGGUGGCGAAGGCAGCUCGCUGGGACGGUACUGACGCUGAGGCGCGAAAGCGUGGGGAGCGAACAGG
rnacentral:rRNA from 1 species